UACGUAGGGCGCGAGCGUUGUCCGGAUUUAUUGGGCGUAAAGAGCUCGUAGGCGGCUUGUCGCGUCGGCCGUGAAAACCUGCAGCUCAACUGCAGGCUUGCGGUCGAUACGGGCAGGCUGGAGUUCGGUAGGGGAGACUGGAAUUCCUGGUGUAGCGGUGAAAUGCGCAGAUAUCAGGAGGAACACCGGUGGCGAAGGCGGGUCUCUGGGCCGAUACUGACGCUGAGGAGCGAAAGCGUGGGGAGCGAACAGG
rnacentral:rRNA from 1 species